rnacentral:rRNA from 1 species
CGAAGGUGGCAAGCGUUGUUCGGAUUUACUGGGCGUACAGGGAGCGUAGGCGGUUGGAUAAGCCCUCCGUGAAAUCUCCAGGCUUAACCUGGAAAGUGCAGAGGGGACUGUUCAGCUAGAGGAUGGGAGAGGAGCGCGGAAUUCCCGGUGUAGCGGUGAAAUACGUAGAGAUCGGGAGGAAGGCCGGUGGCGAAGGCGGCGCUCUGGAACAUUUCUGACGCUGAGGCUCGAAAGCGUGGGGAGCAAACAGGAUUAGAUACCCUGGUAGUCCACGCCUUAAACGAUGGAUACUAAGUGUCGGCGGGUUACCGCCGGUGCCGCAGCUAACGCAGUAAGUAUCCCGCCUGGGAAGUACGGCCGCAAGGUUG